rnacentral:piRNA from 1 species
GGGAUUUCUUACCUAACCUUUAAAGGAAGGA